UAGUUUGUUGGUGAGGUAACGGCUCACCAAGACUACGAUGACUAGGGGGUCUGAGAGGAUGAUCCCCCACACUGGUACUGAGACACGGACCAGACUCCUACGGGAGGCAGCAGUAAGGAAUAUUACACAAUGGGGGCAACCCUGAUGUAGCGACACAGCGUGGAGGAAGAAGGUCUUAGGAUCGUAAACUCCUUUUAUAUGGGAAGAAUAAAUGACUGUACCAUAUGAAUAAGUACCUGCUAACUACGUGCCAGAAGCAUCGGUGAUGCGUAGGGUACAAACGUUAUUCGGAUUUAUUGGGCGUAAAGAGAAGCGUAGGCGUUUUCGUAAGUCUUGAGUUAAAGACCACGGCUCAACCGUGGAAGAGCUUUCGAUACUGCGAGAAUUGAGACAUGAAUGGGCGAAUGGAAUUCCGAGUGGAGUGGUGAAAUACGUUGAUAUUCGGAGGAACAUCAGUGGCGAAGGCGAUUCGCUGGUCAUUGUCUGACGCUAAGGCUCGAAAGCGUGGGUAGCAAAACGGAUUAGAUACCCGUGUAGUCCACGCCGUAAACGAUGAGUGCUAGGUGUUGGGUAGCGAUAUUCAGUGCCGAAGUUAACGCAUUAAGUACUCCGCCUGGGGAGUACGGUCGCAAGACUAAAACUCAAAGGAAUUGACGGGGGCCCGCACAAGCGGUGGAGCAUGUGGUUUAAUUCGACGCAACGCGAAGAACCUUACCAGGGCUUGACAUCCCCUUGACAGAUGCAGAGAUGUGUCCUCCCCUUCGGGGGCAAGGGAGACAGGUGGUGCAUGGUUGUCGUCAGCUCGUGUCGUGAGAUGUUGGGUUAAGUCCCGCAACGAGCGCAACCCUUAUCCUUAGUUGCCAGCAAGUUAAGUUGGGCACUCUAAGGAGACUGCCGAUGAUAAAUCGGAGGAAGGUGGGGAUGACGUCAAAUCAUCAUGCCCCUUAUAUCUUGGGCUACACACGUGCUACAAUGGUCGGUACAAAGGGCAGCGAAGGAGUGAUCUGGAGCAAAUCCCAAUAAACCGAUCCCAGUUCGGAUUGUAGGCUGCAACUCGCCUACAUGAAGUCGGAGUUGCUAGUAAUCGCGAAUCAGAACGUCGCGGUGAAUGCGUUCCCGGGUCUUGUACACACCGCCCGUCACACCAUGGAAGUUGGUAAUACCCGAAGCCGGUGAGCUAACCGUAAGGGGGCAGGCGCCUAAGGUAGG
rnacentral:rRNA from 1 species